GUUAUACAACUAUAAAAACAAAUUGAGUGCUGGUUUUUGUUACUUCUGUUUUUAUUUUUCGUUUUCUUUUUGUCUUACGGUUUAUGAAUAGAUAUAAAAAGAUGUGGUAUGAGUGCCAAUAAGAGAACUCUCUAUCAAAGUAACAAUUUGUAAAAGUAAAGCAUUAUAGGUUAAAGUACGGUCUUCUACAAGGAGCCUUGGCUCGCACCGAACAGCAAGCUAUUAAGGGUCCAAUAAAUGACUAGUGCAAAACCAUUCAAACGGGAAAACCAACGGUCUAAGUAUAUUUUAGAGUAAUUAUGAAUUAUCUUUUUUCAAACACUGAAUUAACUUAGGGAAUAAAUAUAGCGCAACAUAUCGAAUCAAACUUCCGACGGUCCACUUUUCCCCAUUUAGCUAAAAAAAAAAACCAACAACAUGUGCUUGUUAUCUCUUCUUUUGUAUCCAUUUAUAAAUCUUAUGCUCCUGAUUUUAUAAACUGUUACAACUGACAAG
rnacentral:lncRNA from 1 species